rnacentral:lncRNA from 1 species
AUGAGCAACCAUAACUAUGAGGAGAUGAAAGGCAAUGCUUCUGUUACAAGCGAUCCAAGCUCUCACUCAGAAAAACAUUUCCACCAAGAGUCUGACUCGCUAAAGCUUCCUCUUCGACCACCAUCACCCAUGAGCUAUGGGGCACCUCCACCCCUUACACCUCCAUCAUACCAAUCUUCUUCUGAGCCACCGGAUCCUCAAUUCAGCCAAGGACCAGAGUUCCAGUCUCAGCAGACCAUCUUCAUCACACCUGUCCAGCCGACUAAAGAGCCAGAUAAUACGAUCUACUCCAUCUUUACCCUGAUGUGCUGCUUCCUUCCGCUUGGUAUUGUUGCCUUAGUUUACUCAAUAAAGACACAAGAAGCCAACCACAGUGGAAAUGCCACAGUUGCUCAGAAAUAUUCUAGACUGUCACGCAUGAUGGCCCAUAUAGCAUUUGGGUUCGGGAUUCUGAUCUGGACUUUGUAUAUCACCAAACUGACAAUCCAUUCUAGGAAACACGAUGAGACAACAGACCAAGGUCUGGCCAAUCUAUCAACAAAUAAUCCCUGAAGAUGCACCGCGUGAUGCUCACAAUGUUGAAGACCCUUCCCUGUCUUGUGAUUCUCAAAUGACAGAAUGACAGUUUUGAUGCCAUAUUAUUUGAGUGAGUCCUUGAAGGCACAUAUUAUUUGACUGGCACAGUUUAAAAUGCACAUCACUUGGUUUCUGUGUAUAUAGGUUUGAUGUUUCCGAUAGCUGGUGGUUUCCAUGUUCAUUAUAUGAUUAUAUUAUACUUUAGGCUUUCAUUGAAGCUUUGAAAUAACUAUUGAUUCUAUUCCGAAAAUAAAUUCAACACACUACGUAACUCCUUUAAGUUCAAGUUAAAGCCCAGAGUAGAUUCAUGGUCCCAUAUGUCAAGGUCAUGUAUACUUUGCAUGGUGUGUCAUGUAAACCAAACCCUUAGUAUUAUUUUACUUCACUUUGAUUAAACUCUUGUCCUUUUGUAACUGGUUUGCAUAUGUUUGCUGUGUGCACACAUAUUUCCUCUUGCAAGCAAUACCAAGUUAGCUUUCUAACUGUGCAGAUCUGAACUAAAGUGCCAGCAACUAAUCAAAUAAUCAGUUUAGCCAGUCGAUUAAACAUUUUUAAAAUGUCAGGGGCUUGGACCUGCCAGUUGUUUUGUGCUACAGCUCCAAUUGGACCUAGCAAGAGACUGAGUAACCUUGGUCAAGUCAUACACUCUCAGCCUCAGAGAAACACAAUGUCAAAUCUUUUGAACAAAUCUUGCCCCCAAAACAGUCAUAGGGUCACCAUAGGUUGGAAACAACUUGAAGGCAUACAAAUAGUGAUCUAUUUGCACUUAGCAGUCCCAGCACCAGAUAUUAUGAUACAAGAACAUUUCCUGUGCUGUAUUUUUACCCUGCUCUAUCUCAACCUUAAAGGGGGCUCAGAACGGCUUCCAAAUUGGCAAUAAUUCAAUGCCGCGUUACAACAUAAAAUAGAAGACUGUGACCCAUUAAAGAAAAUAUAUUAUCUGAGAAAUGAUUAUGGAAUACUAAUCGCUGGAAAAUAUUGCACUGUAUGCAACAAACACUUAGAAAUGUAUGUCUAUUUGAAUCUUUAUUCCAUAUAUAUAAAAAUGUAAUGUAUGUUUGUAGGACUGAAUAAACAACAAAACUACUGAACCAAAUCACACCAAAUUUGGCCACAAUACACCAACACAUUCAAGGUAUGUCCUUCACUCAACCCCCCUCCCCCACCCAAAAAAAAAGUAUUGGCCUAGGUAUAACACAGACAGGCAUUGAAGCUGCAAGGCUAUUCAGUGCAAUUUAACCAGACCAGUAAAGGAUUAACCUUGGUAGAAGGUGGCCAGGCUUUGAAGCAGUGAUACUAUUUUAUUUAUUUAUUUACAGUAUUUAUAUUCCGCCCUUCUCACCCCGAAGGGGACUCAGAGCGGAUCACAUUAUACACACAUAGGGCAAACAUUCAAUGUCCAUAAACGCAUCAAACAGAGACCGAGACAGACAGACGCCGAGGCAAUUUAACCUUCUCCUGAGAGGAUGUUCGAUUCUGGCCACAGGGAGGAGCUGCUUCAUCAUCCACUCUGACGGCACUUCCUCAUUCCAGGUCGUAAAUUAGUUAAACUUGCCUCCCCACUUUUUAUAUGUGGUACCUUAUUUCCUACUUGAUAGAUGCAACUAUCUUUCGGGUUGCUAGGUCAGCAACGAGCAGGGGCGAUUUUUUAUUUUUAAUUGACAGGUGCUCACCCCGCCAUGGACUGGCCUCGAACUCAUGACCUCAUGGUCAGAGUGAUUUAUUGCAGCUGCUCAACAGCCUGCGCCACAGCCUGGCCCCUACUCUGUACUACUCUGUACUAUUGAAGCUGGCCAACUAAAGAUUCCCCUAGGUAGCAAGCAGCCAGGCUUUGAAGCAGCAAGGCUAUUCAUUGCAAUCUAGCAGCCCAAAGAAAUAUUCCCCUAGAAUGCAAGUACCCAGACUUCCAAGCAGCAAGCCUAUUCCGUUGCAUUCUAACUCACCAAACAAGAAUUCCCAUAAGAAGAAAACGGCCAGGUUUUGAGGCUGCAAGGCUAUUCAGGGCUUUCUAGGUGGUGGCCCCGUCUCGGUGGUGGCUAUGGAACUCCCUCCCCAGAGAGAUCAGAUCAGCCCCCUCCCUCUUUAUCUUCCACAAGAAAGUCAAGACAUGGCUCUUCGACCAAGCUUUUGAAAACCUGGUGCAGCAAUAGACAUGAAAGACUCAGAAUUUGACCAAUGGAACGGCCCAGACCUUGCUCUUGGAUUGCGUGAUGCUGAUCAUUUUAAUUGUGUUUUAUUUUAAAUUAAUGUGUAUUUAAAUGACUUUUCUGUAAUUCCUUGUAAUUAUUUUAAACAGCAUUGAAUAAUUGCCAUGUUGUAAGCCACCCUGAGUCCAUUCCGAGGUGAGAAGGGUGGGGUAAAAAUAUAGUAAAUAAAUAAGUAUUUUUUUAAAAACAUAAAAUACAAAUACAGUAGAGUCUCACUUAUCCAAGCUAAAUGGGCCAGCAGAAGCUUGGAUAAACGAAUACCUUGGAUAAUAAGGAGGGAUUAAGGAAAAGCCUAUUAAACAUCACAAUAGGUUAUGAUUUUACAAAUUAAGCACCAAAACAUCAUGUUUUACAACAAAUUUGACAGAAAAAGCAGUUGAAUGCACAGUAAUGUUAUGUUGUAAUUACUGUAUUUACAAAUUUAGCACCAAAAUAUAUUGAUAUAUUGAAAACAUUGACUACAAAAAUGGCUUGUGUAAUCCAGAAACUUGGAUAAGUGAGGCUUGGAUAAGUGAGACUCUACUGUAUAUUCGGCAUUUUAAAGCAAUUGUGUUUCUCAAGUGUGAAGGGCAGGGAGGUUGGAUGGCUUUAUCCAAGCCAUUGAUUGCACAUUUAACGUCAUAAAUUUCCUUUGUUAUGUUAGAAUACGUUGGGCUAGACAAAUGUCCCUGUAUACCCAUGUGUCCAUCUCUCUUUACAUGUGUAUACAAUGGCCUCAUGUGCGUCAGUUAAUGCGGCAUUUUGCUUUUCUGAAAAUUAUGGUGAAAUGUUCCUAUCUCCAAGGUGGUUUUCAGCUCCCUGGCAUUGCUCCAAACAUGCAACGUGAAACUGAGAUAGAAUUCUACUGGGCGGGAGAAACAUUCUGACUGACAUCCGAGAAGGCAAAUUAGCAGCAUGUGUAUCUUUUUUGCUGUAUGUAAAUGGUCCCAGAAAGUAUUGCUCCUUCUGCCUCCCUAUCUCUCCUACCUUUGUAUAAGGUCAACAGUUGAUAAGCCUGGAGAAAGGUAUACAUUUGCAAGGAAUUCUUGGUUCCAGGACCAUAGGGCAAUGCUAGAAGUAGCUACAAACGCCAUGCUGGACCAUUUUAGUUCAAGGUUCCCUCAAGGUCCUAAUAAGGAAAGGGAAAUAAUGGUGAACCAGUGCUGCUUGGUGAUUAGAGUACAGAACUGAGACUAAGAGGGCCAGGAGAAGCCUUAGCCCAUGCACUCUUUUUCAGUCUGACCUCCCUUGCUCGAUUUUUGUGAGGCACAUGUAUGUUUAUGACAAAAAACAUUAUGGAAUAAAUGGGAUGAAUAUAAAAAGAGAGUUUGUGCCCAUUGAAAAUUUAAAAAAAAGUUCCAUGGACAAAAUGAAGACAACCAGGAGCAACUUCUGGGCCACUUUGGUUUUUGCAUCUGGGUGUAGACAAGCCCGCAGUGAUAUUCCAUUAAAGCAUUAUUCAUUCACCAUAAACACACACUGGAAAGCUGUACUCUCUGCAAAUCUAUGGAAAAGUGAACAUAUACCGUAUAUACUUGAGUAUAAGCCGAGUUUUUCAGCCCAUUUUAGGGCUGAAAAACCCCCCUCAGCUUAUACUUGAGUAAGGGUUCUGGCUGGCUUAUAUUUAGAUUGGCUUAUACUCAAAUAUACAGGUAAUUGGAGUUGGACAGUCUUAAAUUACAAUUUUAUGUUACUACUCAUUAACCUACUGAUGCUUCAAUUAAUAUAUUUUAUUGGAAUCUAUUUUUAUUUUAUUUUAUUUUAUUUUAUUGGAAUCUAUUUUUAUUUUUCCACCCUUGUCUUAUACUUGAGUCAAUCAGUUUUACCAGUUUUUUGUGGUAAAAUUAUGUGCCCCGGCUUAU